rnacentral:rRNA from 1 species
AUUGAACGCUGGCGGCAUGCCUUACACAUGCAAGUCGAACGAUAACAGGUUAAGCUUGCGCGUGGCGAACGGGCGAGUGAUGUAUCGGAACGUGCCCAGUCGUGUGGGAUAACUGCUCGAAAGAGUAGCUAAUACCGCAUACGACCCGAGGGAGUAAGUGGAGGAUCGCAAGUCCUCGCGCGAAUGGAGCGGCCGAUAUCAGAUUAGGUAGUUGGUGAGGUAAAGGCUCACCAAGCCGACGAUCUGUAGCUGGUCUGAGAGGACGACCAGCCACACUGGGACUGAGACACGGCCCAGACUCCUACGGGAGGCAGCAGUGGGGAAUUUUGCACAAUGGGCGCAAGCCUGAUCCAGCCAUGCCGCGUGAGGGAAGAAGGCCUUCGGGUUGUAAACCGCUUUUGUCAGGGAAGAAAAGGUUCUGGAUAAUCCCUGGGCCUCAUGACGGUACCUGAAGAGAAAGCACCGGCUAACUACGUG